rnacentral:rRNA from 1 species
GGUUAAGCGACUAAGCGUACACGGUGGAUGCCCUGGCAGUCAGAGGCGAUGAAGGACGUGCUAAUCUGCGAUAAGCGUCGGUAAGGUGAUAUGAACCGUUAUAACCGGCGAUUUCCGAAUGGGGAAACCCAGUGUGAUUCGUCACACUAUCAUUAACUGAAUCCAUAGGUUAAUGAGGCGAACCGGGGGAACUGAAACAUCUAAGUACCCCGAGGAAAAGAAAUCAACCGAGAUUCCCCCAGUAGCGGCGAGCGAACGGGGAGCAGCCCAGAGCCUGAAUCAGUGUGUGUGUUAGUGGAAGCGUCUGGAAAGGCGCGCGAUACAGGGUGACAGCCCCGUACACAAAAAUGCACAUACUGUGAGCUCGAUGAGUAGGGCGGGACACGUGGUAUCCUGUCUGAAUAUGGGGGGACCAUCCUCCAAGGCUAAAUACUCCUGACUGACCGAUAGUGAACCAGUACCGUGAGGGAAAGGCGAAAAGAACCCCGGCGAGGGGAGUGAAAAAGAACCUGAAACCGUGUACGUACAAGCAGUGGGAGCACGCUUAGGCGUGUGACUGCGUACCUUUUGUAUAAUGGGUCAGCGACUUAUAUUCUGUAGCAAGGUUAACCGAAUAGGGGAGCCGAAGGGAAACCGAGUCUUAACUGGGCGUUAAGUUGCAGGGUAUAGACCCGAAACCCGGUGAUCUAGCCAUGGGCAGGUUGAAGGUUGGGUAACACUAACUGGAGGACCGAACCGACUAAUGUUGAAAAAUUAGCGGAUGACUUGUGGCUGGGGGUGAAAGGCCAAUCAAACCGGGAGAUAGCUGGUUCUCCCCGAAAGCUAUUUAGGUAGCGCCUCGUGAAUUCAUCUCCGGGGGUAGAGCACUGUUUCGGCAAGGGGGUCAUCCCGACUUACCAACCCGAUGCAAACUGCGAAUACCGGAGAAUGUUAUCACGGGAGACACACGGCGGGUGCUAACGUCCGUCGUGAAGAGGGAAACAACCCAGACCGCCAGCUAAGGUCCCAAAGUCAUGGUUAAGUGGGAAACGAUGUGGGAAGGCCCAGACAGCCAGGAUGUUGGCUUAGAAGCAGCCAUCAUUUAAAGAAAGCGUAAUAGCUCACUGGUCGAGUCGGCCUGCGCGGAAGAUGUAACGGGGCUAAACCAUGCACCGAAGCUGCGGCAGCGACGCUUAUGCGUUGUUGGGUAGGGGAGCGUUCUGUAAGCCUGUGAAGGUGUACUGUGAGGUAUGCUGGAGGUAUCAGAAGUGCGAAUGCUGACAUAAGUAACGAUAAAGCGGGUGAAAAGCCCGCUCGCCGGAAGACCAAGGGUUCCUGUCCAACGUUAAUCGGGGCAGGGUGAGUCGACCCCUAAGGCGAGGCCGAAAGGCGUAGUCGAUGGGAAACAGGUUAAUAUUCCUGUACUUGGUGUUACUGCGAAGGGGGGACGGAGAAGGCUAUGUUGGCCGGGCGACGGUUGUCCCGGUUUAAGCGUGUAGGCUGGUUUUCCAGGCAAAUCCGGAAAAUCAAGGCUGAGGCGUGAUGACGAGGCACUACGGUGCUGAAGCAACAAAUGCCCUGCUUCCAGGAAAAGCCUCUAAGCAUCAGGUAACAUCAAAUCGUACCCCAAACCGACACAGGUGGUCAGGUAGAGAAUACCAAGGCGCUUGAGAGAACUCGGGUGAAGGAACUAGGCAAAAUGGUGCCGUAACUUCGGGAGAAGGCACGCUGAUAUGUAGGUGAAGUCCCUCGCGGAUGGAGCUGAAAUCAGUCGAAGAUACCAGCUGGCUGCAACUGUUUAUUAAAAACACAGCACUGUGCAAACACGAAAGUGGACGUAUACGGUGUGACGCCUGCCCGGUGCCGGAAGGUUAAUUGAUGGGGUCAGCGCAAGCGAAGCUCUUGAUCGAAGCCCCGGUAAACGGCGGCCGUAACUAUAACGGUCCUAAGGUAGCGAAAUUCCUUGUCGGGUAAGUUCCGACCUGCACGAAUGGCGUAAUGAUGGCCAGGCUGUCUCCACCCGAGACUCAGUGAAAUUGAACUCGCUGUGAAGAUGCAGUGUACCCGCGGCAAGACGGAAAGACCCCGUGAACCUUUACUAUAGCUUGACACUGAACAUUGAGCCUUGAUGUGUAGGAUAGGUGGGAGGCUUUGAAGUGUGGACGCCAGUCUGCAUGGAGCCGACCUUGAAAUACCACCCUUUAAUGUUUGAUGUUCUAACGUUGACCCGUAAUCCGGGUUGCGGACAGUGUCUGGUGGGUAGUUUGACUGGGGCGGUCUCCUCCUAAAGAGUAACGGAGGAGCACGAAGGUUGGCUAAUCCUGGUCGGACAUCAGGAGGUUAGUGCAAUGGCAUAAGCCAGCUUGACUGCGAGCGUGACGGCGCGAGCAGGUGCGAAAGCAGGUCAUAGUGAUCCGGUGGUUCUGAAUGGAAGGGCCAUCGCUCAACGGAUAAAAGGUACUCCGGGGAUAACAGGCUGAUACCGCCCAAGAGUUCAUAUCGACGGCGGUGUUUGGCACCUCGAUGUCGGCUCAUCACAUCCUGGGGCUGAAGUAGGUCCCAAGGGUAUGGCUGUUCGCCAUUUAAAGUGGUACGCGAGCUGGGUUUAGAACGUCGUGAGACAGUUCGGUCCCUAUCUGCCGUGGGCGCUGGAGAAUUGAGGGGGGCUGCUCCUAGUACGAGAGGACCGGAGUGGACGCAUCACUGGUGUUCGGGUUGUCAUGCCAAUGGCACUGCCCGGUAGCUAAAUGCGGAAGAGAUAAGUGCUGAAAGCAUCUAAGCACGAAACUUGCCCCGAGAUGAGUUCUCCCUGACUCCUUGAGAGUCCUGAAGGAACGUUGAAGACGACGACGUUGAUAGGCCGGGUGUGUAAGCGCAGCGAUGCGUUGAGCUAACCGGUACUAAUGAACCGUGAGGCUUAACCUU